UUGCGUUAGGGAUAGAGGCGGUAUCCUUUUUUGUAUCACGCUUUUACGGGAUAUAAAAAAGAUUAAGCCGAAAGCCCGACCGGAG
rnacentral:sRNA from 1 species